UUGAACGCUGGCGGCGUGCUUAACACAUGCAAGUCGAUCGGUAACGCGGGGGCAACCCUGGCGACGAGAGGCGGACGGGUGAGGAACGCUUGGGAAUCUGCCCUUCAGCGGGGGACAACCCGGGGAAACCCGGGCUAAUACCGCAUACGCUCCACGGAGGAAAGCCGGGGACCGCAAGGCCUGGCACUGAAGGAUGAGCCCAAGUCGGAUUAGCUAGUUGGCGGGGUAACGGCCCACCAAGGCGACGAUCCGUAGCUGGUCUGAGAGGACGAUCAGCCACACUGGGACUGAGACACGGCCCAGACUCCUACGGGAGGCAGCAGUGGGGAAUAUUGGACAAUGGGGGAAACCCUGAUCCAGCGACGCCGCGUGGGUGAAGAAGGCCUGCGGGUUGUAAAGCCCUUUCGGUAGGGACGAAAGCUCUCGACCUAACACGUCGGGAGGUUGACUUAACCUACAAAAGAAGCACCGGCUAACUCUGU
rnacentral:rRNA from 1 species